CUUCUGCGUGUACCAAAGCUUCUUUUCAACAACAGAUUGGGUACUUAAACCAGCAUGAUCGAAACCACCCAGAAACAAAACUGUUUUACCAAGCAUUCUGUUCCACCGAGCUAACGAAUCUUGAAUAGCAAUCGUAAGAGCAUGGCCAAUAUGCAAAGCACCAGUGACAUUGGGAGGAGGAGAUGUAAUAACAAAUACGCCCUCUUUCUUAGGUUUACCAUCAGGACCAAACUCGGGUUCAAAGAAACCAGACUUGACCCACCAGUCAUACCAAGCAGACUCAACAGCUUUGGGAUUAUAGGACUUCAAAGCAGGAGAGUCCAAGUCUUGAAGGACUUUUUUCUCACCAGGAGUGGUCUUUUCGACAUACUCGGCAACUGGUGAAGCAAUCUUAGCCUUCUUAUCA